UAAUUAUUGGUUCUGUGGAUUACAAUAUGUGAUAAGAAUAUUCAUGUUUGGAGGUUCGCCAGUUUGUUUCUGGCUAUCUAAACUGUUAGUUUUGAAUGGGAACUUGCUUUAAUGACAUUGUCAUAUUUAGUCUGCCACAUUCAUCACUUUGUAACACAGGAAUUGGUAUUAUCUAUUUAUCCUGUUGGACAUUUGACUAAAUUUUCAAUUUCAAUGGUUGGAACUUUGGGAAAUAGUUAGUUCAUUGCAGUGGUAUCCUGUAUCUUUACUUCAACCCAAUGAUCUUUUAGAAGAUAUGAAGCUUCACCGCAAGGAUUUGGAGGUUUGCUACUUUUUAUGGAAUCCUAAACUAAUGUGUCUUAUAAUGAUAAUCCUAUAUCCUGGCAGGUAUAAUCACUAUCAACCCAUUGCCACACUAUGAUUUUACUUUUUUUAGGGAUAGCUGUCUUCUGUCAUAGUCACUAACUGCUAUCAAUAAUAUUUGCUAGCCCAGAUUUGGGCUUUACAGUGUUGCAUCUUGUUAUUUUGCUAGGGUUUUUUUCUCCGUAAAGUGUCUGUUGUCCUUCCUAGGUGUUGUGGGGUCCAGGUGAUCGAAAUUGUAAUAAUUUUACUUUCUGCACCUUGUUUUCAAUUUAUGCUAAGAGUGGUUAAUUUUUAUAUUUAAGUUGCUAGCUUUGAACAAAAUCUAGAUAGCUUUUAUAUGGUAUUCCGGGUCUGCUAAAGAGUGAUCAUCUUUCUUGCUUGGCCAUGUUCCAAUAGCAAUUGAGUC